AGCAAGCUCACCUUGCCAGACAUCUCGAUGCCAAUUUCAUCAAGAACCUUGUUAACAAUGGCGUCCUGCUCUUCCUCGUCACCGGAUUCAUCCAGGAUAGAAUUGAGUGUGUCUUCAACUGCUUCCUCGGUCAUUCCCAUUUUUGUACUCUCCUUCUCAAAGUCCUGCAUUGUCUUAGCAAUGUCCUGAGGCUUGAUCUGCUUGUUCACUUCACCCAUGGUCUGAGGAAGAAGUUUGUGGCAAAUAUAAAAAUACAUCAGUGGCAGAACUAACAGUGUAAAAUGUGGGGCAAGCUCCCUUACCUUCGCAGUGGUGGCCAUUGCAUUCGCAAGUUUCACGUUCGCAUUCAUCAGCUGAAAAAUUAAGUCGCUACAGUAAGGUACCGAAAAACAAAAGUGUGAAGUACCAUUGCAUACU
rnacentral:lncRNA from 1 species